GACGGACGGUGCAAGCGUUGCUCAGAAUCACUGGGCGUAAAGGGUGCGUAGGCGGCUUGGUAAGUUGGGUGUGAAAGCCCCGGGCUCAGCCCGGGAAGGGCACUCGAAACUGCCGAGCUGGAGUGCCGGAGGGGAGAGUGGAAUUCCUGGUGUAGCGGUGAAAUGCGUAGAUAUCAGGAGGAAUACCGGUGGCGAAAGCGACUCUCUGGACCGCAACUGACGCUGAGGCACGAAAGCGUGGGGAGCAAACAGG
rnacentral:rRNA from 1 species